AUGGCAACUGGUGGCUUUUCAAAGCAAUGGUGUGAAUGUUCUCCAUUGGUUGAAAAUGAGACCCCACAGAAUGACAUCCAAAAUCCAGAAUUUGAAGGUGACUCUAAUAUGUUGCCAAAAGAUGCACCUGAAGCUUCCAAUGGAACUUCAUCUAAGGGAAGGAGCCAUAGAAAAAGAACUUAUGCAGCUAUGAAUGAAGAUAGUCCUUUUAGUGAGAUGACUGAACAACUCAAACAGAUUGCAGUAGCUGUUACAGCUCUGAGUCAUGGCCCAGUUAAUACAAAUGAGCUUCAUAAAGUAGUGAUGACUGUCGAGGGCUUUGAAGAAGACAUGCUUGAUGAAGCUUUUGAUCAUUUGGUUAAUGAUGAAAAGGCAGGAAGGGCCUUUAUGGCUAAAAAUGAUAGGAUGAGAAAGCUUUGGUUGGAAAAAUUUUUCAACAAAACUUAACUUGAAGUUGCUAGAUACAUUGUGUAAAACAUGUUAAUGGUACCAUGGUAUUCUUUAGGUUAUUAAUAAUUAUGGAACAAUUCCAUAUUUUGGAAGAUUGUGUGUUAAUGUUAGCUAUAUUGUCAUGGUAUUUGGGUUUUGUUAUUGUAAGUGUGCUUAUGCAUGGUUAUGCAACACUAAUUGACAUGUUUUGGAGUUACUAUGGAAUAAUGUUAUAUUUUGGAUUCAUUAGUAUUAUGAUAAUGUUAUAUUUUUUCCAUCUAUAUUUUUGCAGGUUUUGCUGUAUUAGUUGAGAAAUAUUUUGCAUGUUCUUUCAUUUUGUUAAUUCACGGCAUGCAGUUGGUUCUUUUUCUAUUGGCAAGGGCCAGAAAAAGAGAAAGCAUGGUCGCUGAUGUCUCAAAUGCUUUACAGAAUUUUUUGCUUCAAUUUAGUACUGUGGACAUGUUCCAUGACCCGAAUGGACAUUUUGCUACUAGAAGAAGGCAAAAUGAUGUUUUGCUCUGCUGAACUCCCUAUGUAGCUAUAUUAGUCAUGAUUAUUACAACAAGUGAACUCACUAGAUAUCUGCAUAGGGCCGAAAACUAAGUGUGCCAGUUGUGGUCUUGAAUCUUUGUUGUUAUAUAUUGAUUCAUCUACCACAUUCUUUGACAUGUUCAUAUAUUGAUAUUUCGAUAUAUUGAAUCUUUGUUGUUAUCAAUGAUUCAUCGAGUAGAUUCAUCUAGUACAUUCUUUGACUCAUGUUCAAUACCUGGAUAUGUAAUUGAGCAGAUGAUGUGUGUAUGAAGAUAAAACUAGAACACUUGAAAUUCAAUAGAUGCCAUUUUCCAUGGUUAUUAAACACUGAAUUUUAGCCAUUGGUGAUGUCUCAAUAUAAUUUCAAAUUGUUACCUUUUUUUUUUCAUUUUACAUUGUGCCAAACAUUGAAAAAUAUUUUACACAAUAUUUUCAUAUACACUACCAAAUACUGUAAAAUAAAAAUAUUUUCUUAUAAAUAUUUUACAUGUAAAAUAUUUUUCUUUUACAAAUAUUUUACAUAGAAACAAAUACUGCGUAACCGUUUAGUCCCUUUUUAGCCCGGAUAGCAUUCUAAAAUCAUUCAAAGUGCGCAUUAACCAAAUCAACUAAACUCAACAUCUACAUCUACCGAUACCAACCAUCAACUUCUAGUGUUUUUUUUUUUUCUCUUUCACCACGUGUCGCGUAGCCGCGUGCGCUUUUAGCGUAAACAAAGGACACAUCACACACGGUUAAGAAAAGAAUCCCACAAUUGUUUCUAGAAUAAUAUCAUAAAACCAAUCCAGUGUUACACACGCCCACGUCCACGUCCUUUGAAAAUAAAUUAAAUAAUACAUACUACUAUGGAGUCUUUUGGCUAAAUAUUGCUAAAUCUGAAACUUAUUUGCGUUACAGACUAUUACAACUUAUUUAAAAAAUUGAGGAGAGAGAUUGAAUUUUGGCAACAGUGUUGCCGAAAUUCCAACAAAAGUAUGAGAGAGAAAGAGAAAAAGCAUGGAGAGAAAAAAGGUUGACUUACGGCAAUGGUAUUGCCGUAAUUCGUUUUGCCCAAAUUUCUUGAUCGAAUGUGUGAGAAGUGCUCGGAGCGUGAGUGCCCAAAAGAAAAUAAUUAUGGCAAUGGUAUUCCCGGGAAAAAAAAUGAAUGCCAAAAUCUGGGGAGGAAUUAAAAAAAAUACAAUGUGCUAUGUACACAAUAUUUUUACAAUAUUUUCACAAUAAAUCAUAGAUGACUAGUUAUUAUUAGUUCAAAUUUAAAUUUAACAUUGAGAUUACUAUUUUAAUCCAAUAAUAACAAUAAGUAACAACCUGCCACUUAGAAUUUGUUGUAAAAAUAUUGUAAACCACCUUUUUUUUUUUUUUUUAGAAAUGAUAUGUGCACACAAUUUUUACAAUAUUUUUACAACAAAUUCUAAAUAUCAAGUUGUUACUUAUUGUUAUUGUUGGAUUAAAAUAGUAAUUUCAAUGUUAAAUUUAAAUUUGAACUAAUAAUAACUAAUCAUCUAUUAUUUAUUAUGAAAAUGUUGUAAAAAUAUUGCGUACGUAGCACAUUGUAUUUUUUUAAUUCCUCCUCAGAUUUUGGCAUUCAUUUUUUUUCCCUCCCAUUUUUGGCAAUACCAUUGCCACAAUUACUUUCUUUUGGGCACUCACGUUCCGAGUAUUUCUCAUGCACUUCUCACACAUUCGGUCAGGAAAUUUGGGCAGAAUGAAUUACGGCAAUACUAUUGCCGUAAUUCAACCUUUUCUCUUUCGAGACUUUUCUCUUUCUCUCUCAUACUUUUGUUAGAAUUUUGGCAUUAUUGUUGCCGAAAUUCAAAAUCUCUCCUCAAUUUCUUAAAUAAGUUGUAACAGUGCCUAUAAUACAAAUAAGUUUCAGAUUUAACAAUAUUUAGCUAAAAGAAUCUUAUUGGUUACUGUGUAGAAUAAAAAAAAAAACCCUCAAUUUUUUUUUUUUCGACGUGGUACGAUCUAAUUGGUUUCGCUUUUCAGAGAUAUUCAUGAAAGGGGUCCGUAGAAGAAUAUGACUCUAUAGAGAAGAUCGACGUUUAACUGUCCCACACACAGAGAGAGAGAGAGAGAGAGAGAGAGAGCUCGACGGAAAGGUAGGGAAUUCUAUUUCUCUCUCUCUUUUUCUCAUUCUUAUUGUUUGGAAAUCAAAAUUCAAAGAAGAAAGAAGACUCGAGGGAGAGUGAAUUUUCUCGCGAGAGAAAAAAAAAAUAUGUUCGUAAUUUUCCUGUGAUCCAAACAACAGAAAAUAGCAACAAUGCUUUCGCUGCAAGGCGAUCCGCGGCUCAGUCACCACCACCAACACCACCAUCAUCAUCAACAACAACUGCUUCAACAACAACAAUUACAGCUACAGAAGCUUCAAUUGGCUCCGUACAACGAUGACUCGUUGGCUGCUUCGUCGUCUUCUUCUUCUUCUCUGCCCAAUCUCAAGCACUCUCAGGCCUUGGACUCUCAUGAAGGUUAAAAAAUUUCGUUCCAAAUUUUGGUAUCUAGUGUUUUUGAGUUAGGGUUUUGGAUGCAACAAGUUCUUUGGAGGAGGUUUAAUUGAACUACGUUCUUUGUCUGUUUUGUUCAUUUCAAUAUUUCAUCAUUAGGGAAUUGUUUUGAAUUUAUAUUUAAUUUUGUACUUUGUUUGUUUCGCGGGAAAAUUUUCAGGAAAACAUGGUUCAUAAUUUUGUUUUGUUACUUGAGAGGAUUAGUGGUUUAAGAGCUUGUUUUGUUUGAUUAUUUUUGUUAGGGCAAAUUCGUCUGCUGUUAUUGCUGCAAUCGGGCUGCGUAAUAAUUAGCUUUGCGUGAUUAAUAUGAUGUGGAAUGUAUUAUCAUCCCUUAAUUAUGGUUUUAGGUUUUAUUUUUACAAAUAAUGGUCCAAUGCCAAUCUGUAUUGUUCCUCACGUUAGUAUUGGCCCUAUAUCAUCAUUAUUACAGUGAUUCUGCAUGAAGAUUACUCGAAUUAAUUGAAGUUUACAUUAGGCUCUACUCACUGACGAAUGCAAUUGAGUUUAGGGCUUAGAAUAUACAACAUUUUAAAAUUGUGCCUGGUUUCUUUUGAGUUUAGAGCUUGAAAGCCCUGGUAAUCUCCUUGUCUUUUGCUUUUGUAGUUUUAGCAUAUUUCUAUGUUGUUUGUGAACAAUAUUAUCGAAGAGGGGUAGCAUCUGCCAUUUUUUUUUUUUGGAUAGUUUGAUAGAUACAAUGGAGAGGUGGGGGGAUUUAAACUUUCGAUCUCUCUGUUAGAACCACCAAGAGGUGCUAGUUGAGCUACAAAGCUCUUGGCAGGGGGAGCUUCUGCCGUUGGGACUUGAAACAUUCUACAAUAGUACCUUCAACCAUGGGCAUAAAAGAUCAAUGUUAUAUAUAUAUUCCACUCACAUGAUAUGGUUCUAUGCCCUUUAUGCUUACCUAAGAGCUGUAGAGUUUGCCAAAAGAUUUUGGAGAGACAAAGUUACUAGGGAUUUCUCUCCAGUGUCUUAAUCAUUUUUAUGUAGCUUUUGUUUUUUACUUAUCAAAAUACACACACACACACACACAUAUGUAGCUUCUGUUUUCUUUAAGGGUUUCUCCCCCCUUUUUCCUCCCUCCCUUGAGGAAAAGGAUCCUCUCUAUUUGAAAUGGAUCCAUAUCAUUGCUCAGAUUAAAUAUUAUAAAUCUAAAGGUCUACAAUCUAUAUCACUUCAUUUAAAAUUAAAUGACAUGGCACUCUAUACACUAUUAGAUCCUGGAAAUGAAAUCUUAACUGUGAAAUGGACUCCCUCAAUUUUAUUGGAAAUGGAGAGGAUUCUGUUCCCUCCCUUGGAUGGCAUAAAAUAAAAAGUUUUCACAUGUAUUGUUUCUGAAGGUACUUUCUGCUUUUAUGCCCUUUAUGUUUAUCUAAGGAAUGCAUUAAUCAUUUUCAUGUAGCUUCUGUGUUCUUUAAGGAAUUUUUCCCUCCCCUUGAAUGGCAUUGACAUAGAAAUUUCUAAUAUUUAUUGUUGCUGAAGGUACCUUUUUUUAUAUUUUCUAUUUUUAUGCUGCUGCAGUUGAUGAAGGCAUGCUCAUUGCUCAUGCUCAUCAGAUGUACAAAGCUGGAAAUUUUAAGCAGGCACUAGAACACUGUAAUGCUGUUUAUGAGAGAAACCCUCAGCGUACUGAUAAUCUUCUUCUCUUGGGUGCAAUCCAUUAUCAGGUUGUUUGAAAAGUUUUUAAAAUGACUCUUAUUCUCUUAGAUAGUAUAAUUAUUACUUCUCCAUUGUCCAAAUAAUGUUGCAAAUAGAAGGUUUUAUAUGGGUUAACAGUGUGUUUUUCUACAUCUGAUCCUGAUGAAUCUGCCUUAUUUUGCAUUAGUUGCAUGAUUUUGAUAUGUGCAUUGCAAAAAAUGAAGAAGCUCUUCAAAUUGAUCCCCGUUUUGCUGAGUGCUACGGAAACAUGGCAAAUGCUUGGAAGGUAAACUUCAAGCAUCUUAUAUGUUUGCAACUCUUCAAGUAUUUAGCCCUGGAGAGUCUAUUGGAUGAUGUUUGUGUUUUCUUCAAACAGGAGAAAGGAAAUAUUGAUUUUGCUAUCCGCUACUAUCUGAUUGCUAUUGAGGUUUGUCACAGCUAAACCUUUCAAUCUAGUUGUACAAUUUUUAAAUUCUUUCCUUACUGUUUGAAAACAUGCAGGAUUGGGAAUUUGUUAUUUAUAUUUCUAUUUUUCUUUCUCUACAUUCCCCCCUUAUCGUGGAUUACACUUAAGAUAUAAUCUUUCUCAAGCAUUGACAUCAAGAUAAAUGUAAUGAUUUCCAUUUACUACAUCACAUCAACUGUAGUUAGGAUUGCAGUUCAAAAAUCAUAACAUUACUGUAUUUAGUUUGGAUCAUGAUAAAAACUAGAGGACAAAUUUUUUCUCCAAUCCGGUUUGGAGAAAUCUCCUCCAACACAUUAUGUGGCAACUUAUAAAACUAUCUGCAUGUAUUAUUUAAAUAAGUUACAUGACUCAUUAAAUAGGCCAUGUGACUAGAAGGACAUGUGGAUGGUUUUAUCAAUUGUGAUGUAGUGGGUUGGAUAAAUUUCCUCCAAUCCAGUUUGGAGGUAAACUUUUUCCAAAACUAAAUGUUGUUGAUAUAGUUGUUCAACUUUCUAUUUUUCCCCUGUUUAUUCUUUAAACAAUGAUUAUCUGUCAAAAGAGUAGUAAUCAUUUUAUUUAUUUGUAAUGUUUCUUGUGGUUACUGUAUGUUGGUUAACCAGCUUUCUUAACCCAAAAGGUGGCCUCUUGAAAUUUAGUUCUGCUGUUUGAUUUUUAUUUUAUUUUAUAACACAGAUAGUUAAUUUCUAUAUUCGGCUGUGUGGCACUAACUGACCCACCUUUAUCAUAGCUAUGUUGUUAAAUUUUAAUUUUAUUGCAUUGGUUUUAACCUCCUUUGCUUGUAUAAGUCCAUUAUUCAUUUACUUUGAGAUUCUUAACUGACUGGGGAUAUUGGUCCUGAGUAGAUUGUCUCCUUUGGUUUGUAUUAUUGUUUUGCAGCUUCGACCUAAUUUUGCUGAUGCAUGGGCAAACUUAGCUAGUGCAUACUUGCUGAAAGGAAGAUUCAAUGAGGCAGCACAAUGUUGUCGUCAGGCUCUUGCAUUGAAUCCUCAUUUGGUAGGUAUCAUCUCAAUUUUAAAAUUUAUUAGAUCUGCCAGAUUCUAUUGUAGCAUUGUGGAAUCUUUGCUUAUUGCUGCAGGUUGAUGCUCAUAGUAAUCUGGGGAAUUUGAUGAAAGCUCAGGGUUUGGUACAAGAGGUAGGGAUUCAGCAGCUUAUUAUUUAUUGUCCUCUCUCGUCAAAUUAUCUAUUUGGUGCAGCUUAAUUGGUCAUGCUAGAGUUGUUUAGAUGGCUUUGAAUGCUGCAUGAUUUCUGUAAUUGAUUGGUGAAUAGCUAACAAGGAGCCUGAUAAAGUUUCUUGUAUCUGAAAUAUUAUGAGGCGUUAAGCUCUGCAACUACAGAGUCAAAUGUUUUUAAUUUGAUCCUGAAUAUUGACUUGGGAACCAAUUUUACUUUGGAAGCUUUAUUAGCAAGAGUGAGAAAUCAAGGUGUAAAUUUAAGUCUGUUGGGGAGUUCUCCUUAUUAGAUGCUUAUAAAUUUGUUUUUUGCAACAGGCAUGUGAGAUUAAGUCUUGUUACAUUCAUUUAUUUGUUGCUAAAAGCAAACUAGAGAUACUGCUCUAGAUAUGCAAAGCUGUAUAGAUCUUUUAGUAUGUUGUACAUCUUAGGUGGUUUGAGGGAGUAAUUGUGCAUUUGUGCAGGCAUAUAAUUGCUAUGUUGAGGCUCUUCGAAUCCAACCAAAAUUUGCAAUUGCAUGGUCCAAUCUUGCUGGCCUUUUCAUGGAAGCUGGUGAUCUUAAGAAGGCUCUCCAAUAUUACAAGGUGAGUUACCCAGAUUUCUGUCAUGCCUCUGUGUGUGUGGAAGAGAGGGGGGGGGGGGUGGGGGGGGGGGGGGUUGAGAUUGCAAAUGUAUGUGAAUAUAGCAAGUAUGUAUUGUAUGUGUGUGCAUGCAUGCAUUGGUAUCCACGUCACUUCUCACAGUAGAUUUUUUUUUUUGUAUUUUUUGUAUUUUAUAUCAGAUAGUUCCUCUUUAUAUAGCUUGCUUCUUUAGCUCAUUCCUUUUUUAUAUUCCCCAUUUUCAGGAAGCUAUAAAGCUCAAACCAACAUUUUCUGAUGCCUACCUGAAUCUUGGAAAUGUAUAUAAGGUAAGCUAAUUAUAUUGUGCUGAAAAGGUUGGGUAGCUGAAAAACUCAGCUAAGUAUCUGGGGAAAAAUAAAAUCUUUAUUUUGCUUUUUCCAGGCUCUGGGAAUGCCCCAAGAGGCUAUAUUAUGUUACCAACGUGCUCUUCAGGUGCAACCAGACUAUGUUACGGCCUAUGGUGAGUGCUUUCAAAACUUGUACUUGUCUGUAUGAGUGUUUCUGCGUUUUUCAUUAUCUGGUUAUGCUUCUAGACAGUGUAGCUGUUCAUGUGUCAUAUUAGCUUCCAGAUGUGAGGUUAUAGGAUGUAAACAACAAGCCUUUAGUGAUUUUUUUGGGUUAAUCUUAGUGUCCGUUUAGAAUGAGCUUAUAAGCUCAACUUUUAGCUUUUAGUUUUUAUGUAUAGCUUUUAAAACCUUAUUUUUUCUCACUUUUUCAAACUACAAGUAUACUUUACCACAUUUUUAGCAAAAAGCUAGAUAAGCUGUUCCCAAAUAGACACUAGUUUGUUCUUGCGGGCAGAGUGUUCAUAAAAGAUCGAUCGUGUGUAAAGUACAUUUAUCAGAUUGGAAUGACUUAUGGAAGGGCAUGAAAGGGCUAUUGAAGAUCUUGUCUAUUCAAAUAUUGCAAUUGGAUUGAUUAGUUCAUAUGGAUUCAUUGAGUUUGUGAUGGUGCCCAUGAUUAGCUUGUAUCUCAUUACUUUAUGUGAAAUUAAAAUAUGAAUAUUAACAAUAGAAAUUUAGUGGUUCUGUUGCAUGGCUUUAAUUUAGCUUUCACUGAUGAUUCAUUGCAAUACAACAAAUCAGGCAAUUUGGCUAGUGUAUAUUAUGAGCAAGGCAACUUGGAAAUGGCAAUUUUCCAUUUUAAGCGAGCCAUUUCUUUGGACUCAGGAUUCUUGGAGGCAUACAAUAAUUUGGUUGGUCAUCUUUUCUUCCCAUUAUGGUGGAUUGUAUGCAGUGAAUUGGUAUUUUGUUCUUGAACUUCUUUCACUCAAUCAAGACUGGUGUUUUUUGUUGUUAUCUUUAGGGUAAUGCUUUAAAAGAUUCUGGCAGAGUUGAAGAGGCAAUUCAAUGCUAUCGUGUAGGUUCUUUCUAUCCAUCCUUCUCUGCAUUUCUUUUUGCUAGUUUGUGAUUUCAUGUUUCUUGUAUGAUGCUCAUCGUACUUCUCUUGUUUUCUAAAGCAAUGUCUUGCUUUGCAACCUACCCAUCCUCAAGCACUCACUAACCUCGGGAAUAUAUAUAUGGAAUGGUAUGUUGCGCAUGUAUGUUCAGUUAUUUUAUUUACGCUCCAUUUGUUUUGAAGAAAAAUAUUUUCAAACGUAAAAUAUUUUACAUGUAAAACAUUUUCAGUAAAAUAUUUUUAAGUGUUUUGUAUGACAAGUAAAAUUUUUCAAGCAAAUCACCAAAACCGGUGGUUCAAUGGAGCCACUGGUACUGGAGCUCUUGUGACCGGACCGCCGGAACUAACAACUGAAACAGUGGCUUCGGUGACAACUGCCGGAGUGGUGUCUUCAGUGAUCGGAACAAUGGCUUUGGUUAUCGGACCUUUGGCAUUGGUUGUCGAUGACUGGACUGCUGGAACCGGCAGCUGAAACAAUGGCUCCGAUAACUAGAACGGCGGCUUCGGUUAUCAGGCCUCUACAGUGGCUCUGGUGACCAUUGCUGGAGCGAUGUCUCAAUUGACUGUACUGCCAACACCAGUGACCAGAAUGGUGUCUUUGGUCACCCGACUGCUAGCACUUGUGGUUAGAAUGACGGCUUCGGUUAUUGGACCUCUGGCACCGGUCGCUAGAGUGGCGGCACCGACUGCCUAGCCCACCAAACCGAUGACCUAACCACUAGAUGGGGUGAGGGGAAGCCACUGUUUGUUUUUGUAAAAAUUUUUACCAAAAUUUUAAAGGUAAAACAUUUUACAACUUUUUAUAAAGGAUUUUACGGUCAUAAAGAAAAUAUUUUACAAGCUUGACCACAUUUUACGUGCAAAUAGACACCUGAAAAUGGGAAAACAUAUUCCGGAAAAUAUUUUACUUCAAAAAAAAACAGAGCGUUAAUUGGACAUUUCUAUGAGUUCUUUGUAAGCUGUGACAUGCAUAUCUAUAAUCUUACUGCUUUCUGAUCAUGUAGGAAUAUGCUGAGUGCUGCUGCUUCAUAUUAUAAGGCAACACUGUCUGUAACAACAGGAAUUUCUGCUCCUUUCAACAAUUUGGCAAUAAUCUAUAAACAGCAGGUAGUGGCAUCUCCUUUUUGUGUGUGUGUGUGUGUGUGUUUGUUUUGGGAGAUGCUCUGUUAUCCAGCAUCUAUAUUCAGAUUUUCAUUAUAGAGGUUUUUACCUGCUUAUUUAUCACAGGGUAAUUAUGUGGACGCUAUAUCUUGCUACAAUGAAGUGCUCCGGAUUGAUCCUUUGGCUGCUGAUGGACUUGUCAAUCGUGGCAACACAUACAAGGAGAUUGGAAGGAUUAAUGAAGCCAUUCAAGACUACAUACGGGCUAUUAAUAUCCGGCCAACUAUGGCUGAAGCCCAUGCAAAUCUGGCUUCAGCUUACAAGGACAGGUACUGUAUAGCUAUUAUUAAAGGAGCAAUGGAGCUAUAUUAUUGAGUAUACUUAACUUUUUGUUGAAUGACUUUAAUCUCUAAUUUUGACACUUUACAGUGGACACGUUGAAGCUGCUGUUAAAAGCUACAAGCAAGCACUAAUUCUACGCCCUGACUUUCCAGAAGCAACUUGUAACCUUCUUCACACAUUGCAGGUAUAUAAAAGAAAAAUAUUAGGUUACUUGGUCCGCUUGUUUCCUUUACUAGUAUCAUCUCAGAAUGGUCAAUCAUGAUCACAAGGUUUUUUUUUGUUUUUUUAUUUUUUAUUUUUUUUAAAUUUAUUUAUAGGUAAAAGAGUAGUAUUAUUAAAUAAAAAGAAAAAGAAAAAAGAAAAUAGGGUGUUCACAAUGAUGAACAAAGAACAAACAAAAAGUAAAGAAACAUAGGAAUCAAGAAACUAUGCUAAGAGACGAGAAAUUUAGUAAGAGAAGAACUGUCCGAGAAAGCCCAACAUCGAGACCAAUCAAAGAGAGUCCGCUGGCACAAAUCUAUCAACUGAGCCAACGAUUUCUUAGUAUCCUUAAAAGAACGAUAAUUUCGUACUGUCCAAAUAAUCCACAUCAAAUAGCUUGGAACCAAAUUUCAAAUAUCGGAAUUAUGUUUCCCAAGCCAUUGCUACCAACAAAAUAAUAAAACAACAAUAGAACCUAGCAUGACCCAAUGAAUCCCAAACACCUGAAGCAUAUGCACCCACAUAAAGUGAGCUAUCAGACAAAAAAAUAAGGAGGUGAUCCACAGAUUCCUCAUUACAACAACAUAUAUAACACCGAUUUGCCAAAGGGUGACAUUGAAGCAUAAGAUUAUCCAAUGUCCUUCCAAGGGAAAAUAGAAAUAGGAACAUCCCAAAUCUUAUGAUAAAAAGACCGAGUAUCAAACUUUACGCUUCCUUGGGGCACAUUGCUAGUUGGAAUGUUAAAUGUUGCAGGUGCAAUGUGCCCCAAGGAGGUGGGACUUUGCCUUGAAACACAUCAUUGAUAUGGAAUAUCUAGUCAUUGCUUAAGUUGGAACUAUAAUACCUUGCAUCUAGAAGGGUUGAGAGCGGGGAUGGAGGGAAAAAAAGAUUCAGUACCUGUUAUUUGGUUUGGUCAUUAAAGUAUCGAUGCACUUAAGAAGUUCAAUAAAAAAGAUAGAGAUAAUAGUAAAUAAAUUUCAUAUAUAAUAAAGUUAAAUUGCUGUCAUAAUUAUGAUCAUCUGUCCUAAUUGAGGGAAGUGGUCUAAGCACGAUACCUCCUUGUACGCUGGACAUAUAUCAAUUGGCUGUUACAAGUAGUAGCUGAAAUGAUGGGUAAUGUGCACAAAAAAAGGUCUAAGUUAUUGGAGCUUUACACGAGUAAUGCAAGAAUUUGGAUCAAAAUUGUGGCUGAGGGGUACAGUAUUUGGUUGGCGGCUACAAGGCUUUAUAAUAUACACAUUAAUAUAGGUUUUUUUGUAAUCCACAUUUUUCCCUCCAUGAAUGUCCUAGCCUUGCAAAUUCAAUUUAAUUGUGAUUGACAAAGCUUGGGAUUUGAACUUCCUUUUUUUGUUAUUAUGCCUUCUUUAUAGAUUCUUUGAUUAACUAGCAGUGUUUUGUGUAUUUUAACAUUUUUAAAAACUGUGAGAAUAUAGUUAGAUUAAUGAUUAAGAGUGCGUUUGGAUGUAGCUUUUCUUGAAAGCUUAUUUGUUUGUGUUAAAACACUUAAAAGUUGAUCAAAGUAAAGUUGUAAAUAGAAAAAGUUAGGCUUUAAAAGCUUUUACAUAAGGAAAAAAGCUAAAAGAGUAAGGAAAAAAGCUAAAAGAAAAAAGAGUUUGCCAAAGUUCACAAUUUCUUAACCGCUUAAGCUUUUGAGACAAUUGGUAAUUUAUCAUGGUAUUGGAGUAGGUGGUUCUGAGUUUGAACCUUGUCUCUGCUCUACUUCCUACUUAAAAAAGUUGAAAAAAGUCCCAAAUUUUGGCCCUCACUUAUUAAGGGGAGUUUGGGCCCAUAUGAGAGAGAGAGAGAGAGAGAUGAGAGAGAGAGAGAGAGAGAGAGAGGGGGGGGGUGUUGUAAUCAACUUAAGUUUUUUGGACAAUUAAUUUAUCAAUAGUAUAAUGGCAUGUCUUGGGGGGUGUUGAGAUGUUUCAUAUUUCUUUCUGUCUUCAAAUGCAUUUGCUGGUAUCAUCGAUUAAUGAUGAAUUCAAUUUGCAAUGAAUUUCUGCUCAGAGAUUUUUUGGUAUGCUAUUAUACAUUGAUUUUGGAUAAGUAUGACUCGUGAACAUAAAUUCUUAUUGAUAUUUGACUAGGUUUACACUGAUAAUUCUUUUUGGACACCUUAUCAUCAUAUUUUUAAGGUACAAAGUUAGCUUGCAAUGUGAUGAGUAAUGAGAAACAUGAAGAUAUGAAUUUACACCUGAAUUCGAAAUCUCCCUUGUUGAUAUUUGAUUCCAGUUUCAACAGAUGUCUGAAAUUUAUUUGUGAUAUAUAAGAUGCCUCAUUUCACAAGGUUGGCUAAUGGUGACUACUGUUUUGCAGUGCGUUUGUGACUGGGAGGAUCGGGAGAACAAAUUUAUUGAAGUUGAAGUGAUACUCAGGAGACAAAUAAAGGUUCAGUGUCAAUCUGUAUCUUUUUCCUUUUCCAUGUAAUAUUGUGAUGUGUUGUUUUGUCCUUUUAGCUGACUUAUCAGCCAGAAGCAAAAUCUGAUUGUGUUCAACCAUUUGCUUCAGAUGUCAGUUCUUCCAAGUGUGCAACCUUUCCAUGCAAUAGCAUAUCCCAUUGAUCCAAUACUUGCACUGGAAAUCAGGUAAUUAGAUAGCCCUUUUGGAUGUUAUAUUAAAAGCUUUUUUUGAUUAAUGUAGUGGUAAUUGUUUGUUCUAUACCAUAUAAUUUACUUUUGUACCUACUUUAAUGUUAGGAGUAUGUGGUUAAAUAAUUAAAUUUACCAUUUCCCAAUAGCUUUAGCUUUUGGGAUAAUCGUUAAUUUAACAUGGUAUUAGAGCAAGAGGUUUUGAGUUUGAUCUUUGUCUCCUUCACUCUACCUCCCAUUUAAAUUCUCACGUGUUGGGCCUCACUUAUUAAAAGGUAGUUUUGGCUCACACGUGAGGGGGAGUGUUAGAAGUAUGUUUUUAAAUAAUUAAAUUUACCAUAUCCCAAUAACUUAUGCUUUUGGGACAAUCAGUAAUUUAACAUUUAAAAAGAAAAAUCUUGUAUUUUUCUAUAUGCUAAUUGUCUUGUUUUUCUUGUAGCCGCAAAUAUGCUGCACAUUGCUCUGUCAUUGCAUCUCGCUAUUCACUUCCUUCCUUCAACUAUCCUGCAGCCCUGCCCGUAAAGGGUGAGGGUAGGAAUGGCCGCCUAAGGGUUGGGUAUGUUUUAAUAUUCAUCUCUCUCUCUCUCUCGCUCUGUAAUCUUAUUUCUAUGUCAUCUGGGUUUUCAGAUAUGUGAGUAGUGACUUUGGCAACCACCCUCUUUCUCAUCUUAUGGGCUCAAUAUUUGGUAUGCAUGACAGAGAGAAUGUUGAGGUUUGUAAAUUUGGUCUUUUUCUGAUUUGAAUCUAAUAAUUCCUACUAAACCCUUUCAGUUCCUUAUGUUUCAUGCCACUUCAUGAGGGGGAUCAAGAGAUAUGUUUAUUUGUGCAGGUGUUCUGCUAUGCCUUGAGUCAAAAUGAUGGCACUGAAUGGAGGCAGUGUAUUCAGUCAGAAGCAGAGCACUUCAUAGAUGUGUCAUCCAUGUCAUCUGAUAUGAUUGCCAGGUUGAUUAAUGAGGAUAAAAUACAAAUCCUUGUCAAUCUUAAUGGUUAUACUAAGGUAAAUUUUUUUCAUUUUUGGUAAGAAACUUCCUUUUUUUGCCCCACAUUGAGUGCUCAAGUUGUUCUUUUCCACAUCAUUUUCCAAAAUUCGUUUUAAUUUUAUCUUACAUCAUUUUGUAACUUUCUAAUUUUCCGCUUACUAUGGUCAAUUCAGACCUCUAUCUGUUUCAGAGUUUGACAUUUUUUCCUUUUAAUUCUGCAGGGGGCAAGAAAUGAGAUAUUUGCCAUGCAGCCUGCUCCAAUACAGAUUUCUUACAUGGGAUUCCCUGGGACCACUGGGGCGAGUUAUAUACAUUAUUUGAUCACUGAUGAGGUUGGCUACUGUUCAAUUUUUUACUCUAAUUCAGAGCUAAUUCUUUAUGUAAAAUUUAACACUGGCUUCUACCUUUGCAGUUUGUGUCACCUUCUCGUUUUUCUCAUAUCUAUUCUGAAAAGCUUGUCCACCUUCCUCAUUGUUAUUUUGUAAAUGAUUACAAGCAGGUCAGCCGUAGUUAUUUAUUUUGUUUCCAUAUAUAAUUCUUGUCCAUAGUAUCUUACAGCUCUCUCUUUGUGUUGCAUUUACUAGAAAAAUCGUGAUGCAUUGGACCUUAAGUGCCAACCAAAGAGGUCAGACUAUGGCUUACCAGAAGACAAAUUUAUCUUUGCAUGUUUCAAUCAGCUCUACAAGAUGGAUCCUGACAUUUUCAAUACAUGGUAAUUUUGAUGAAUUUGUUGUCCUUACAUGAUAUAUUGGUGUUAAUAGAAUUAGGCAAGAUACUCAAUUAUCUUUGUUUUGACAAAUACAGGUGCAAUAUUCUUAAGCGUGUCCCCAAUAGUGCACUUUGGCUUCUUAGAUUCCCAGCUGCUGGUGAAAUGAGACUUCGCAACUGUAUGUGUUGAGUUUUAUGUAGAUACCUAGAAAUUGUUAUUUCUUUGUGGUGUGCUACCCAUGUUAGCAGUACAUUCUCACUUGCUUUGGUAUGUGCAGAUGCUGUGCAACAGGGUGUGCAACCAGAUCAGAUUAUCUUCACAGAUGUUGCCAUGAAAAAUGAACAUAUCAGACGCAGUGCUCUAGCGGAUCUUUUCCUUGACACGUAAACAUACUAUAAACUUGUCCUUUUCUCUGGAAUUGGCAAACGGCAAUUUGUUUGUCUUCCCUCUCUCUCUUGCUCCCUCUGUUUUUUUUAACUUUAAUGGGAAAUGAGAUUUAUGAGACCCAGUUGAUGGCAAUUAUAUGUUCUGGUUUUGUUUUGUGUAGUCCAUUAUGCAAUGCACAUACGACAGGCACUGAUGUUCUAUGGGCUGGUCUUCCUAUGGUGACCCUUCCCCUUGAGAAAAUGGCAACUAGAGUUGCUGGUUCACUGUGUCUAGCCACUGGCGUUGGAGAGGAGAUGAUUGUUAGCAGGUAGAUAAUUAUGUUGUAUCCUUAAAACAGAAAUAAUAGCUUCCUGGUCAGAGUUGUAUGUCUCUCUUUUUGAUUAGUGAUUGAAUAAAGCAACUGUGACCAUAGUCUCCUUGCUGGCUGAGGUUGGUAAUUGGGUUUACUUUUAUCAUUUCAUCAUGCCGUGCUUUUUUUGUGGAGGUCUUGGUGGAGCUUUUUAUUUGUUGAGCACAAGUAUGAAAGUGAUAAACAACAAUAACAAACAAAGCCUUAGUUUGAAAAUUUUGGGGUUGACUAGUUAGGGUUGGCCAUAUGCAUGCCUUUCCUCCAUUUUACUCUAUAUAAAGUCAAACUCUCUAUUUACUCCCUUAAUUGACAUAUCUAUUUUUAUUAUGUCUACUAAUGUGAUUUUUGGGUCUUCUUGUACCUUUUUUCGUUCCCUUAACUUGGAUCGACUCACUCUUUCUUAUUGGUGCAUUAGUUGCUCUCCUCUAAGCAUGACCGAACCAUCUUAAGCAACUCUCCCUCUUCUUUUCAUCAAUAGGGGCUACCUCUAUCUUUAAAUGAAUUUCCUUAUUUCAAAUCCUAUAUUUCCGCAUAUUUCCACUUAUCCAUCUUAACAUUCUCAUUUUAUGAAUAUGUUGCUUCUUAACAGCCCAACAUUUCGUACCAGAGAGCAUAGCUGGUCAUAUUAGCAGUCAUAUUCAUAGAAUGAGUGAAUAAUAAAAAAUGAUUGUUUGAAAAAUAUAAAUAGUAAUGGUUUUUCAAAAAGAAGUGCAUUCUGAAAGGCUGAUUUUUUGAGGGAUUUGGUUAAUCUCUAGAAGUGCAUUCUAGAGAUUAAGGGUACGUUUGGUAUACUGAAUUAGGAUUACAACAGAAAUUGUAAUCUUUAUUACUACUAUUACAUUACAGCGCCUACUACAAUCUACCAAAUAUGCCCUAAGUCUUUUUUUCUUACAUACUCUUCUUGCUUGGAGUGUGGCUCUGUUGCAUUUUUCUUGUUUUUCUUUUCCUAUUUUACUUGAUCGUUGUAAUUUUGGCUCAUGAUUUUUGCCUCCAUAGUACAUCCCCAAUGUACUCGGGUUGGCUUCUUUAUUAAUAAAAUUUCCGUAACCUUAAAAAAAAAAAAAAAAAAAAAAAAAAAACUUCUGUAGUUAAUAGCUGGGCUUGGAGCCUUGGACUACCAGUGAUGCCCUACUUAGUGAUGGAAGAAACCAUCAAAGCCAAAAUCCAUUCUCCCCCUUCUUUAUGCCAAAGCCCCCUGCCCCCCUUUCAUUUUGUUUUAAGAAGAAAAAAAAGGACAUACUGCCAGUCUCUAUGCAUAUAUGUGUAGGUCAGGUCAGUAGUAUCACUUGCUUAUUUCUGUCUUUCUUCUUUGAUUGCUGACUUAUUUCUUUCUUUUGUUCCCUCCAAAAUAUUCAAAAGUACAAAAGAAUAUGAAGAGAAGGCAGUCUCGCUUGCAUUAAAUCGCCCAAAGCUCCAGGAUCUUACCAAUAGACUUAAAGCAGCUCGUUUGACUUGCCCUCUGUUUGACACAGUGCGCUGGGUGAGUUCAUUAUUAUUCUACUUAUUUAAUAUUAGUUUUUUCCCCUCUUAAAAUUGGUAAAUUACUUGCACAUUUAAUGGGAUUUGAUCUUGUGAGAUCACCUUCAACCUUAUUCUUAUAGGACCUGGAAAUAUCAUUUGAUCUAAAGGCUAUUGGCAGUGUAAAAACUUUGGGAUUAGUGCAUACUGAACUCUUGAAAUUAAUCCUGUUUCAAAUUAAACCUUGAAGUUUCAAUUGUAUUUAUUACAACUCUAUAGUUUGACUAAGUUCUUAUAUUUUGGACUCUUAGUGAGUCUUGGUUAAUUAACAAUAAUAUAAUCCACAUAGGCUGUACAUAAGACCUAUCUAGGUACUAAAAUCCCUUCAUGUAAAUUGCAGGUGAUACUUUAGAGCGCUUGCAGACACACACAAAAUAGCUCAAACCGGCUUGUUUUUUUAUAGUAGCAAAAAACCUUAACCAAUAAAUACAGUUUAAUACAAAUUUCAUUGUUUGCCACUGAGCUAUAGCUUAGUUGGCACUUCCUCCUACCAUAAUAAUGAGAUAGAGGGUGAGAUCAUAAGUUCAAGACCCAUCGGGUGUGUGUAACCAAUUAAAAAAAAGAAAAAAUAUUUCAUAGUUUUAUGAGCUUUUCUUUUCUUUUUUUCUUUCUUUUUUUGGUGCGUGGGGAGGGGGGUUUGCACUAAUAUACUUUUUGUUCAAGUGAAUAGUUCUUUUUAGUGCUUACUCAUUAGGGGUGUAGAUUGCAGUAAUUUUAAAAUUAUAGCAUGGAUAUUGAUGGAAUUGAAAACUUAGGAUUUAACUUGUAAACAUCACAGAACUAUAGGGAAAUUUAUUCCAUUUGCCAAAAACUGAAGUAUUUGUAUACUAUAAUAUACAGGAAGAAGUGCCCACCUCUCCUUGUCAUAUCUUUAUAUCUAGAGCAUCUUGCUAAACAAUUUUUUUUUGAUUGAUUACACAUACACAUCCAGUAGGUCUUGAAUUUAUGACAUCACCCUCCUCCUAGCACUUCUAAGAGGAGGAUGUAUAAGUUGAGCUAGUUUUUAUUGUCAGAGUAUCUUGCUCAACAUUAGGUGAUGAAAAGCGUAAUGGUUUACUUAUGGUGUGACCCUUGUUUGUGGUUUUUAUUGUGCUUGAGUUAUGGAUACUAGAAGCAGUGAUUGAUGCAAUUGUUUAAACAAAAUAUUCAGGUGAGGAAUCUUGAGCGAUCCUAUUUCAAGAUGUGGAAUCUGUACUGCUCCGGCCAGCAUCCUCAGCCAUUUAAAGUAAGCGAGAAUGAUGUAGAGUUUCCUUAUGAUGGAUAGGAUAGGAGGCAGGGUUGGGGAGACGGGAUUGUAUAUAAAGCAAAAGAGUAAAAUUGACAUUCUUUUAGGUUUACUGUUGGUUGGUUGUCCAAAUGUCAGCUGAGAUAUGUUGCAUGUCCUAGUAGUAGUAGUGGUAUCUUGAUUAGGAUGUUCACUCUUGGCUGUUACCAACUGGAUCAGAGGAGGGGUAGGGGGGUUGUUUUGUUCAGCCAGUUUAUGUUAAAACACCUUAUUAAGCGUACGAAAUAUGAUAUGUUAUCAUACAUCAUCCUACCCCCCACCCCGAAUUUUAUAUUUUUAAAUUUAUUUAUGAAGCCGUAAUGCUGUAUCACGUUUUCCCAAGGUGUACUAUCAGGUGCAUAGGGUGUCAAGUGUGGAAGUUAAGGCUUGA
rnacentral:sRNA from 1 species